GAUUGAACGCUGGCGGCAUGCUUUACACAUGCAAGUCGAACGGCAGCGCGGGCUUCGGCCUGGCGGCGCGUGGCGAACGGGUGAGUAAUGCAUCGGAACGUGCCCAGUAGUGGGGGAUAGCCCGGCGAAAGCCGGAUUAAUACCGCAUACGACCUGAGGGUGAAAGCGGGGGACCGAAAGGCCUCGCGCUAUUGGAGCGGCCGAUGUCGGAUUAGCUAGUUGGUGGGGUAAAGGCUUACCAAGGCGACGAUCCGUAGCUGGUCUGAGAGGACGACCAGCCACACUGGGACUGAGACGCGGCCCAGACUCCUACGGGAGGCAGCAGUGGGGAAUUUUGGACAAUGGGGGCAACCCUGAUCCAGCCAUGCCGCGUGCGGGAAGAAGGCCUUCGGGUUGUAAACCGCUUUUGUUCGGGAAGAAAUCCUCUGGGCUAAUACCCCGGGGGGAUGACGGUACCGGAAGAAUAAGCACCGGCUAACUACGU
rnacentral:rRNA from 1 species